rnacentral:tRNA from 1 species
UCCCUGGUGGCUCAGAUGAUAAAGAAUCCGCCUGCAAUGUGGGAGACCCAGGUUCAAUUCCUGGAUCGGGAA